AUCCAGAGGUAGCACUCCCAGCCCGACCGCCUCUCCUCUCCGGGCUCACUGCUGCACAGAACCAGUAGCCAUUUAUGACGACAGUCAAGAAUUACGUGUGAAAAGUUAUAAAAGUCUGAAGGAGUGCUAACUACCAGUAUUGCCAUCUCAGGAUGGUGUGCAAAUAUAUUUCUACCUGACACAUCUCCCUCCUCCACCAGUGGCAAUUAUAACACAGAUGGACUCAAGGGAUUACUGACAAUUUCUUUAAUGAUGUGCGAGCGCUCCCAUUGCCCAUUUAGAUUUACUCUGCAACACUGACAGUGACAAAAAGAUGCCCUCUCUGUGUCAUACCGUCAGUGGAUGCCAUGAGCGUCUCUCAAUGCCAUUUCAAAGUCUGCUAGCAGAGAAGUAAGAAGGAAAAGCUUUAGGAAACCAGUUCCAUUCAGGAGAUAAUUCCCUUCCCAGAGGUUAACAGUCAUGAAUCAGCAAUGAUUUCAGAGGAUUCUCUGGGACUUCCCAAGAAAGCAAAUGAAUAUGAAUAUGGGAACCUCUAUAUAGGAUUUUAUGACUCUAGGUACCUAGAUCUGUGGUGAUCUAGGUAAACUGCACUAGUAUGCUUCAAUUGAGUACACGCAGUAGCUUCAACUGACGACUGAUGGCCAGCAUCUGUCUCUUCCCAUCACCUUGGAUCCAGGAAAAAGCUUUGUAUGAGCUGAUCAUUUGCAUCAAACUAGCCACCUUUACUCACAUGAGGGAAAGAUGAAAAAUCAUUGACAAAGAACAAGGCAGUUAGGUAGAUUCCAGAGAACUGUGCAAGGAAAAUGAAUCAGUGACACUUUUGGAAGAGAGAUACAAAAUUAAGAUUAGAAAGCCCAGUCCUAUGAGAUGCUGAAGUUAUUGGAUGCAUCCCUAUAAACUGUCCUGCAUCUACAUCUUUUAAUUACUAUUUAUUUGAAAAAGGUAGUUUUUCAUCAGUAGGUGACGGUUGGAUAUUUAUAGAAACACAGAUUCACAGAGUCUUUGAGGAUAGAAGGCCUCUCUGGAGGUCAUUGUGACCACACAUGUCCAAUAUUUUGGCUUUCCUAGGCCAUGUUGAGAAAAGAGGAAUUGUCUUGGACCAUAUACAUAAGUUGCUCUGAAAGUAAUGCCUCCUAUUUGUUUCCAUGGAAUCACCAUUUUUCAAAACAUAACACCGUUUUCAACAUAACUAACACCAUUAGCUAUGCAUUUUCACCAGUGAUGAACAAGAGCCUGCACACUGAGCUCAUAGAAAUCUGUACUAGUGGAGACGAAUCACUGUCACUACUACUGAAAUGCACCACCCUCUGUCUCACUGUGCUCAUAUCCACUGUUUGGUCUCCAUAGAUAUUCAGCAAGCAUUAGUGUAUGUCAGUGGGUGUCUUUUUUUCCAUAUACAGAAAUUCAAAGAUAUAACUUUCCUUUGCUGCCAUCUGUCACAAGGGAGCAAAAUGUAAUAGAAUACUGGUGUAAAAGUUAAGCCUAAUGCCAUACUACCAACAUCUUCCUCUGAUGUCAUGGGUCAACAUACUGAAACAGGAGGCAUUACUUUUGGAGCAGCCCUCGUAAAGAUUAUAAUAUCAUUAAUAUAUAAAUAAAAAAACAUCUUAAUUUUUAAUAUUUUUCUCAAAACAUUAAAAAAGAGAGUAACAAAACCAUAAAUUAGUGGGAUAUGCGAUCUUGCUUUUACGAAGCAAAUCCAACAGUUUUGUUCAGUGGUUACAACUCUCUGUGAGCUCUCAAGGUGUUCAUCAGAUAUGAAUUUUGAUGAAAUUUGAUGAAAUGUUACUCUUUCUGUACUUCAUCCUUGACAAUUUUUCACAAAUGUACAUUCUGCCAAAAAGUGAUGACAUGAAUAAGGCUUGGUUGUGAAGUGAAGGAUAUUUGUCUCUGGUAAGAGGUCUUAGGAAAGUCUGGUAAAGAAACAUGAUCGUCUUUUUUAGUUGAAUAUCUGAUUGCAACUUUAUACAUUGUAUUUGAAAGUUUUCAGGUAAUGUAUUUAUGUCCACUGAAAAUGAUGUCACAAACAUAAACUGAUUAUAUUUUUUGCAACCUCUCAAACUCUUUUAUCAAAUUGGAAUGCAAGGCUGCUCGUUCUUCACUACUGAGAGCACUGUGUUUAGCCAGUGUAUUAAAAUGCACACAAUCAAUUGCCAUCACUUGAAUCAGCACUGCACAGCACUGCCCUCCCUGUGCCCUGCAUUCAAUAGACACACUGUUAAUAGCUCACUGACGGUUUGGUUUGGUCAUUGUUGAGGGAUGGGUGCAUGCCUGGGACCUUGAUGAGAGGAUAGUGGCAUCUGUCCUGGCAAGGCCUCAUCUGGAGUACUGUGUCCAGUUCUGGGCUCCCCAGUACAAAAAAGACAGGGAUCUCUUGGAAAGAGUCCAGCGGAGGGCCACAAAGAUGGUGAAGGGCCUGGAGCAUCUCUCCUAUGAAGAAAGGCUGAGUGAACUGGGUCUGUUUAGCCUUGAGAAAAGAAGACUGAGAGGGGAUCUAAUCCAGGUUUAUAAAUAUCUGAGGUGUGGGGGCCAUAGUGGUGAGGCUGGACUCUUUUCAGUGGUACGUGGAGACAGGACAAGGGGGAACAGACAUAAGCUGCAGCAUAGGAAGUUUCGCACGAAUGUGCGCAAGAACUUCUUUACAGUGAGGUGACGGAGCACUGGAACAGGAUGCCCAGGGAGGUGGUGGAGUCUCCUUCUCUGGAGAUGUUCAAGACCUGUCUGGAUGCCUACCUGUGCGACCUGCUGUAGGGAACCUGCUUUUGCAGGGGGGUUGGUCUCAAUGAUCUCUAGAGGUCCUUUCCAACCCCUACAGUUCUGUCAUUCUGUGAUUCUGUGACCACUCCAUGGUAAAGUGCCACUGUCCUUUUAGCACAGGGCAAGAUAGUCACAUUGCCAGCUCUGUGGGGCCUCGUGAGGCCCACAUCCUGAACAUGCUUGAUUUGUACUAAAGAUGCUAUUUAGAAGAAAAAAUAUGUUCUAUGGAUACAAUCCUUGUGUUAAAAGCACCAAUUACAAAAUUGUUGUGGUUCUUCCCAGGAGUACAGGAGUACACAUCUAACUGUUCCAGGAGCUUCUAAGCUCUCUGCCAUAAUGUCUUUUUCAUAGAUAGGAAUUUCAGACAUGUAGGUCAGAUGGGAUCUGAUCGUACCUUAUAUCUUGUACCAUAUUAUUUGGGGAGAAGACACUCACUUACACUUGCAGGUCAGUGUAGAAGGGGCCAGUGACAGCACUGACAGCUUUGAGGAGGCAUUUUACAGGAGGAGAGAUUGCAGGUGCCAGCUUGUCCUUGCUGUGCCGGAUGGCUUGUUGCUGAAUAAGGCUCCAGAGCUCACUUACAGUUUGCCCACAAAUGAGAGUUGUUAGAAAAUUGUUUUACCUGCAAUCUAAGCUAUUUUCAGGAAUAUUUAUGCUUCAAAUCAAGUCUUUACAGGAUGGAGUUUUCUGCUAGAAAAGCUUGAAGUACUAGAAGUGUAUUUGAGUUUAAAAUAAAUGAAAACAGUUUUCUCUCAAAUUUAAAGCAAAGACAAGUCGUCUUGCUUUACAAUUCAGCCCUACAUAUAUGUGCAGAUAUGUGUACAUGUAUAUGUAUAAGCAUACGGUAGUCAAAGCCCAGAAUAGAAGAGUUUAUUCACUGAAGUUUCAUUUUUCACAGAAAAAAAAUUGUGAAGUUUGUAGGUCAUUCCUCUGCACACUACUCUGAGUUUUGAAGUUUCAGAAACAUCCGGAGGUGGAUGGUUUUCCAGCUUUCCCACUCCUGUCUUACUUGAUGACAUAUUUUCAGGUUUUCUGUAUUGCCUCUAGUAUUAGCAGAAUGUGAAAUUUUAACAUUGUUAUUCAUUAACUGAGGAAGGGCAGAGACUUUAAGACAUACCUCAAUUUAUCUUGUUAAAAAAACAGAAUAACAUACACAGAAAGUAUAUCAGAAGGCAUAUGAAUAUAAAGGAUAUUCAUGCAAAUGAAUCUAAGAGCCACAAGCUCCCAGCAAACUAGGAGUUUGUGGAUUUUCUAGUUUGAAGGAACAAAAGUGCACAGACAAUUAGGGUUGCAUAACAUUAAUCUAGAGCUAUUCUCAGUGAACUUGUCUAUUUUUCAAUUAUCCAAACACAAUCAUUAAUAUUUUCAUCUGACUUAUAGUCAAGUAUAAUAAUAUCAGUUCUAUGUCAGUCUCAGGCUGAAGGAAAUUUUGAGUUUUCAAUGUAGAAUAGAGACAAAGUCAAAGACACAGGGCACAGACAAAAUCAGCUAUAUGAAGAGAUAGCAAAUAAGGGAAGAGAAACUUAAUGCUAUAUUCCAAAUCAGAGAAUUUGGAGAAUUGCCUGCAGAUAGUCAUGGCCUUUAUUUAUCCGGAGGAAUGAAACCAUGACUCAAAAAGUAGGUAAAAAAUCUUCUGGUGAGAUAAUCAUAUUUCAAGUAGUAAUUGCCUGGAGAAAAUGAUCAAGAUUUUUUUGAUUUCUCCCAAUGCUUCUACCCCAAACUGGUAAUGCCAUUAAGAAAGAAACAAAAACCCUCUUGCAUAAAGAUGAACUGCAAAAAAGCAGUCAAAAAGCAGAUAUUUAAAAUGUUGAGGAUCUGAAAGGUUGGUCUCUUUACCAACUUUACACAGAACUCAGACCUAGGAGGCAUUUGGAAAACAGUCUGCAAUUUUAUCCUGGCACUGUUUUUUUUUUUUUCUGCAGCUGAACAUCACUGUCAGAAAGAAGCAUUCUUUCCCAACAAGUUCUUAUCAAGGCCAUGAUGUCACCUGCAGUGACUGAGGCUUUAUUGCAAAUAUCAGUGGAACAUGAAAUGUGCUGUCUUAAGGAUGUAUGCUUAUGAAUACAGUCAUGGCUGUUCUGAAUAUAUGUCCUAUAUCCAAAGGAAAUCUGUGAUGAAUAUCCCCCAGUUGAUAAUUGUAUCAAGAACCCUCUGUUCUGAAAGGAAUAUCUUCAUCGUUAAAGCUAAAUCCAAAACGAUGGUAAUAAUAUUUUAUGAUGAUACAGCACUUUGUUUCAAAUAUUUCAGGUAUUUUGCAAAAGUUAGUGACCUUCUCUGUAAAAGAUGUAAAAAUAUUUCCCAAGAAAAAAAUAAAUACUGAAGAAUGGCAAUGCAUCAUCAGAUAGAAUUUCUUGAGUAAAGAACAUUGUACCCGACCUGAUUUUGCGUCCAAGAUAUUAUUGAAAACACUCCUUAGGAUUUCAGAAAAAUUAUAGCAAAGUUAAAACAAAUCAUGAGACAUGGGGGUGGUUCCCACUUCACUUGCUCACAGGAAUAAAUGCCAGAGAAGUAAGUCCUUUUAUGGUAUAAAUUAAGUGUUCUUUAAAUUUCAAGUGUUGUCAGC